AUUGAACGCUGGCGGCAUGCCUUACACAUGCAAGUCGAACGGUAACGGGCCUUCGGGUGCCGACGAGUGGCGAACGGGUGAGUAAUGCAUCGGAACGUACCUUUCAGUGGGGGAUAACGUAGCGAAAGUUACGCUAAUACCGCAUAUUCUGUGAGCAGGAAAGCAGGGGACCGCAAGGCCUUGCGCUCUUUGAGCGGCCGAUGUCAGAUUAGCUAGUUGGUGAGGUAACGGCUUACCAAGGCGACGAUCUGUAGCGGGUCUGAGAGGAUGAUCCGCCACACUGGAACUGAGACACGGUCCAGACUCCUACGGGAGGCAGCAGUGGGGGAAUUUUGGACAAUGGGGGGCAACCCUGAUCCAGCCAUGCCGCGUGAGUGAAGAAGGCCUUCGGUUGG
rnacentral:rRNA from 1 species